GACCCGGCAGCUUUCUCUGCAGCCUGCUCUCCCAAACCAGCUCUCCCCAGAACAAAAACCACCCUGUUAAGCACCAGAAAGAGCCAGAAAAACACGCCUCCGGACAAAGCGAGACUAUUCAGCGAUCCCAGAGCUGUCUCUUCCCACCCUUGGGCUCAUUGACCCAACAGCUCACGCAGAGUCUGGAAGGAAGGACGGUCUGCGGAAGGAGGAAGAUUGCCGACCUCUAAGAGAUUUUCUUUAAGGCGCUCAAAAAGAUCAGUGAAUAUGAAAAUAAAGUCCCUGGUGACUUUUGCGAGAGGAUCUUUGGUGCCGGAGCAGAGUGAGAAGCCGGACGGCGGGAGAUGAGCGGGCACGGGGACAAUGGAGAAAACCAAGGCAUUGGCAACACCCUAUGAGCUUGUCACCUGGGGUGACACAUGCAGAGAAGUGAGACAAUGACAAGAGAAGGAAACUCAGAGACACUGUGCAUCUCUUAAUGCAAGAAUUUCUUCCAUGGGUGUUGAGGAAAAACACUUAAAAUAAGGCAGAAGGUCAACUGCACAUCUUUCAAAGACCUAUUAAAGCAACAGCUCUCAGAAGUGUGUUAUCUGAAUCACCAGGUUCCGCAGCAUCACCUGAGACCUUGUUAGAGCUGCCAGGAUCUCCCCAUCUCCGAGC